AAGGUGGCUUUUAUUUGAAUGAUAGCUUAUGGUGAACAGUGUCGGAUUCAUGACCUUAGAAGAAGAUUUAACUUUGGGAACAGGGACCAGGCUUAAUCACUCAAGAGCUUUUGUAUAGCAGAGUUUUAUUAAAGUAAGACAAAGGGCAGAGAGAGCUUCUGACACAGACAUCAGAAGGGGAACGGAGAGU